rnacentral:rRNA from 1 species
AACGAACGCUGGCGGCAUGCCUAACACAUGCAAGUCGAACGAGACCUUCGGGUCUAGUGGCGCAAGGGUGCGUAACGCGUGGGAACCUGCCCUUAGGUUCGGAAUAACUCCCCGAAAGGGGUGCUAAUACCGGAUAAUGUCUUCGGACCAAAGAUUUAUCGCCUUUGGAUGGGCCCGCGUUGGAUUAGCUAGUUGGUAGGGUAAAAGCCUACCAAGGCGACGAUCCAUAGCUGGUCUGAGAGGAUGAUCAGCCACACUGGGACUGAGACACGGCCCAGACUCCUACGGGAGGCGGCAGUGGGUGAUAUUGGACAGUGGGCGGAAGCCUGAUCCAGCUAUGCCGGGUGAAUGAUGAAGGCCUUGAGGUUGUAAAGCGCUUUUACCCAGGAUGAUAAUGACAGUACCGAAAGAAAAAGCUCCGGCUAACUCCGUG